CAGAAAUUGUCAGUGGAGCUUAAUCAUGAAACCUCAGAGGACAAUACUAAAGAGGACGACAACGAAGGGGGCCAGAAAUUGCCAGUAGAGCUUAAUCAAGAAGUACAGUUCAAGAUUGGCAGCUACAUUGAGGUAGAGUAUGAGCUGAACAGAGGAAGAAAGAAGGAAUGUAAAAAAUAUGUUGGAGAAAUUAUUGAUGCGGUCAAUGAUGAACCAUAUGUUAGCUUUUUGGAUAACUGAACUGUAAGAAACAUUAAGAAGAAAAGACUGACUAAUUGAAGAAAAAGCCUUAGUGGCACCAUCACAAAUUGUGAGACAUUUGAAUAUUCCAGAAGAAAUUAUUCAAGGACGUGCAGAAAUGUUGAAAAUUCCAGAAGAAAUUAUUCAAGGACGUGCAGAAAUGUUGUAUUUUAAAGAUUACCCUGUUUAGAGUUAAAAAUAGAAAAACCUUUCAGCAAAUUCCCAUGAUCAGCCAGACCGAUCUUUAACAACCUUUGUCUGUAGCGUCAUUAUAAUGGUUCCACUUGGUCUCUGUUAAGGGUUACUAGAGACAGAUUGUUGGGGGGGGGGGGGGGGGC
rnacentral:lncRNA from 1 species